rnacentral:rRNA from 1 species
AGAGUUUGAUCCUGGCUCAGGAUGAACGCUGGCGGCGUGCUUAACACAUGCAAGUCGAACGAAGCACUUUAUUUGAUUUCCUUCGGGACUGAUUAUUUUGUGACUGAGUGGCGGACGGGUGAGUAACGCGUGGGUAACCUGCCUUGUACAGGGGGAUAACAGUUGGAAACGGCUGCUAAUACCGCAUAAGCGCACAGCAUCGCAUGAUGCAGUGUGAAAAACUCCGGUGGUAUAAGAUGGACCCGCGUUGGAUUAGCUGGUUGGUGGGGUAACGGCCUACCAAGGCAACGAUCAGUAGCCGGUCUGAGAGGAUGAACGGCCACAUUGGAACUGAGACACGGUCCAGACUCCUACGGGAGGCAGCAGUGGGGAAUCUUCCGCAAUGGGCGCAAGCCUGACGGAGCAACGCCGCGUGAGUGAAGAAGGGUUUCGACUCGUAAAGCUCUGUUGUCGGGGACGAACGUGGAGACGGCGAAUAGCCGUUUCCAAUGACGGUACCUGACGAGGAAGCCACGGCUAACUACGUGCCAGCAGCUGCGGUAAUACGUAGGUGGCGAGCGUUGUCCGGAAUUAUUGGGCGUAAAGGGAGCGCAGGCGGGAAGGUAAGUCUAUCUUAAAAGUGCGGGGCUCAACCCCGUGAGGGGAUGGAAACUAUCUUUCUUGAGUGCAGGAGAGGAAAGCGGAAUUCCUAGAGUAGCGGUGAAAUGCGUAGAUAUUAGGAGGAACACCAGUGGCGAAGGCGGCUUUCUGGACUGUAACUGACGCUGAGGCUCGAAAGCGUGGGGAGCGAACAGGAUUAGAUACCCUGGUAGUCCACGCCGUAAACGAUGAAUGCUAGGUGUAGGAGGUAUCGACCCCUUCUGUGCCGGAGUUAACGCAAUAAGCAUUCCGCCUGGGGAGUACGGCCGCAAGGCUGAAACUCAAAGGAAUUGACGGGGGCCCGCACAAGCGGUGGAGUAUGUGGUUUAAUUCGACGCAACGCGAAGAACCUUACCAGGGCUUGACAUUGAGUGAAAGGACAAGAGAUUGUCCCCUCUCUUCGGAGACACGAAAACAGGUGGUGCAUGGCUGUCGUCAGCUCGUGUCGUGAGAUGUUGGGUUAAGUCCCGCAACGAGCGCAACCCCUAUUCUUUGUUGCCAGCACGUAAUGGUGGGAACUCAAAGGAGACUGCCGCGGACAACGCGGAGGAAGGCGGGGAUGACGUCAAGUCAUCAUGCCCCUUAUGUCCUGGGCUACACACGUACUACAAUGGGAUGGACAGAGAGCAGCAAAGCCGCGAGGCCAAGCGAACCCCAUAAACCAUCUCCCAGUUCGGAUUGCAGGCUGCAACCCGCCUGCAUGAAGUUGGAAUCGCUAGUAAUCGCAGGCCAGCAUACUGCGGUGAAUACGUUCCCGGGCCUUGUACACACCGCCCGUCACACCACGGAAGUCAUUCACACCCGAAGCCGGCAGGCUAACCUUUUGGAGGCAGCCGUCUAAGGUGGGGGCGAUGACUGGGGUGAAGUCGUAACAAGGUA